AUCCCAUGAUGAGGACACUUCCUAAGGAAAUUCUUAAACCUUUCCCAAGCCUUAAACAUAGUUUCGUCUUCAGCUUUUUCAAAAUAGGCCAUGUCAUUUCUCUUCUU